GGAUUCCCCUAGUAACGGCGAGUGAAGAGGGAAAAGCUCAAAUUUUGAAUCUGGCGCCUUUGGCUCCCGAGUUGUAAUCUAGAGAAGUGUYUUCCGCAUMGGACCGUGUAAAAGUUCCCUGGAACGGGACGUCAUAGAGGGUGAGAAUCCCGUACAUGCCACGGACURCCUUUGCUCUGUGAUACACUCUCAACGAGUCGAGUUGUUUGGGAAUGCAGCUCAAAAUGGGUGGUAAAUUCCAUCUAAAGCUAAAUAUUGGCGAGAGACCGAUAGCGAACAAGUACCGUGAGGGAAAGAUGAAAAGCACUUUGGAAAGAGAGUGAAACAGUACGUGAAAUUGUUGAAAGGGAAGCGUUUGGAGUCAGUCACGUCUGGCGGGAUUCAGCCUUGCUUCUGCUUGGUGUAUUUCCUGUCCGAYGGGUCAGUGUCGAUUUYNACUGAGGGAGAAAGGCUUGGGGAAUGUGGCCNUCUUCGGGUGGUGUUAUAGCCCCUUGUUGUAUGUCUCAGUUGGGAUCGAGGAAUGCAGCGCGCCUUUUGGCCGGGAU
rnacentral:rRNA from 1 species